rnacentral:misc_RNA from 1 species
UCGUAACAAGGUUUCCGUAGGUGAACCUGCGGAAGGAUCAUUAACUGUAUUACGGGGGGCCGGCGUGGGAUUGCGUGCUUUGGUGCGCCUUCCCUCCCCGCCCUGUCUGAUACUACCCGUGUCUUUUGCGUACCAAUUGUUUCCUCGGUAGGCUUGCCUGCCGGCCGGACACCAUAAAACCUUUUGUGAUUGCAGUCAGCGUCAGAAAACUACAAUAAUUACAACUUUCAACAACGGAUCUCUUGGUUCUGGCAUCGAUGAAGAACGCAGCGAAAUGCGAUAAGUAGUGUGAAUUGCAGAAUUCAGUGAAUCAUCGAAUCUUUGAACGCACAUUGCGCCCCUUGGUAUUCCAUGGGGCAUGCCUGUUCGAGCGUCAUUUGUACCCUCAAGCUCUGCUUGGUGUUGGGUGUUUGUCCCGCUUUGCGCGUGGACUCGCCUCAAAGCAAUUGGCAGCCGGCAAUCUGGUUAUAGAGCGCAGCACAUUUUGCGCUUCUUGCCACGGAUGUCGGCGUCCAUCAAGCCUACACUUUUGCUCUUGACCUCGGAUCAGGUAGGGAUACCCGCUGAACUUAAGCAUAUCAAUAA